GGGGAUUGAUGGGGAAGGCCGACACAGGAAGCGACCUCCGGGUGCGCGGAUGUCGUGAGGCUAGGUUCACCAUGCAUGGUUAAAGAACUCGAAUCGAUUCGUCUGCCUCUCACAGCUUGAGAUUGCUUGAUCGCUAUGUCACCCUGAGUAAAUGAGGAAUCUGAUGAUGGCAAUGUUUGUUGUUAUAUCUACAACUCUUGUUUGGUUCUAUGAUUGCUUAGAAUAGGUGGCAAAACCUAGACUGGUAAAUGAAC
rnacentral:lncRNA from 1 species